CUUUAGCUUAACAAGUAUUAAAGGUCACGCCUGCCCAGUGAAACAUUUUUAAACGGCCGCGGUAUUCUAACCGUGCAAAGGUAGCGUAAUCACUUGUCUUCUAAAUAAAGACCUGUAUGAACGGCUAAAUGAGGACAGACCUGUCUCUUAUAACCAAUCAGUGAAACUGAUCUAUCAGUACAAAAGCUGAUAUAAACGCAUAAGACGAGAAGACCCUGUGGAGCUUAAAACAAACCACUAACCAACAAAUACUAGUGCACUGUCUUAAGUUGGGGCGACUUCGGAACAAAAAAGAACUUCCGAGCAAGGGAUCACCAUCCCCCUCCAAGGCCAACAAGCCAAAGUAUAAACUGACCCGGCCCAUGCCGACCAACGAACCAAGUUACCCCAGGGAUAACAGCGCCAUCUUCUUCAAGAGUCCCUAUCGACAAGAAGGUUUACGACCUCGAUGUUGGAUCAGGACACCCCAGUGGUGCAGCAGCUACUAAAGGUUCGUUUGUUCAACGAUUAACAGUCCUACGUGAUCUGAGUUCAGACCGGAGAAAUCCAGGUCGGUUUCU
rnacentral:rRNA from 1 species